rnacentral:sRNA from 1 species
CUCUAUAUACCUUAUGCCUAUAUGUAACUCUUAAUUUACGUUUAAUUUAUUUAAUUUGUAAUUUGUGUUUCAUUAAAUUUUGCUUAAAUUCUAUGAGAUUUCGGCGGAUCGGAUCUCGUACGUUGUAGUAUUUAUAAGUUUUAAAAUUAGUUUUUUAACAAAACAUACAAAAAUUACGUUUCAACAAACACACAAAAAAAGAAACAAAUACCAAUACGUAGCAGAACCAGAUUAAAUGUGUUCUAAUCAUGAUUGAUGCGCAAUCAAUCAUGCUGAUAAAUGAUGAUGACGUUUUUUUUGCCAUACCAUACCAUACCAUACCCUUCCCCCGCCCCCCUCAAUGUUAGAUGGAAAUAUUUGUGAAUUUUUCGGUUGUUUGUGACUCUCCAAUUCUGUCUUUGCGAUUUUCAUUCAGAGCAGAACAGGAAUACAAACAAAAGUUAAAAAGAGAACAGAAAACAGAGAACAGAAUACAGAGAACGAAACAAAACGAAACGAAGAAAAUAAAAAGGAAUGAUAAAAACUAAAUGUGAAACGAAUUGCAAAUUUGUUGUAUUUUUUUAUAUGAAUAUAUAUAUAGUAUAUUGAUAUAUAUGUAUAUGUAUAUGUGUAUCUGUACGAGUAUAACCCGCAUACAUGCCCAUUAAAUAUGUAUGCCAUUUAGAAUGCUAUAUGUUAUAGAUCAUAAGGCUAUAUGUUGUAGAUCUUUAAGCGCUAACAGCAAAAGCAACAACCACAACAACAACAACAACAAACAACAAUUUUUGUAGUAGUUUUUUAAAUGAAUCAACAAAAAAAGGAAAAAAAACUAUGUAUGUAUUUGUAUUUGUGUCUAAACCCGAAUGUUCGUAAAUAACACAAAAGCAAAAAGGAACGAAACAAUAAUAAAAUGAAUGAAAAACAAGACAAAAUCGUCUCAGUGAACCGUCGAAUCAUUCUACUAUAUAAACAUCAAGAAAUUCUGAAAAUACGCUUUCAAAUAACAUAGUUCGAAAACGGAAUAGGAGCUCCACUCCACUCGUUUUUGGUCUUCGUUCAGCAUAUAACAACACUCUGGAAGGUAUCUGGUGUGUCAUCGUCGUCGUCAGUCGUCCGUCAUCCAUCGAUGCAUUGUGCUGAGCUUGCCGAAAUGUCCAAAAAAUCACGCGCUGUCCAGUGGAACUGUAUGGAAUGACCACGAGCUGGAGCAUGCAUAGCAGGAGUGGUGUGAUGCCAACCCAAUUAGCCAUGGAGUGACCUGCUAGGGGGGAUACAAGAACGAAAGGAGCUGCUUGGCUUCUGGAAAUAAAAUAUUCCCUCAAUUGUAGGCUCUCUUAUACAAUGUGAUGCAUCAUCAAGAUUUGGAUAAGAGAAUGGGAAAAGUUAUUUUCGGGUGUAAACAGAACUUGGGAAUUGGAUACCCCAAGAACUCGAAUGCUCGAGAGAACACUCUGAGUGAUAUCUUAAGAUAAGAGACCUCUUUUUGGAUCCUUCCUGUACCAUUAUCAUCACUGAUUUUGUCGACUUUAAGUAUGAAAUGAAAUGAAACAAAAAAAUAUAAUUGGAGUGGAGUGUGAAAUGUCACGUUGUAUACGCUAUAUUCGAUAAGAUAGGAAACAGAAGCAAUUAAAGCCUGCCUCAAUAUAAGAGCACAAAAUACCGCCAAUUCGUUCCAUUUGAAUUCAAAUUAGGCGCCACAUUCCGAAUCGGCUGACAUCUUCCGCUUAACAGCCCAUGUUGUGUAUAAAUUCAGCAGUGUUGUGUCGUUAUGGCUUCAGGGGUUCAAAUAAAUGUCCUAUCUAAUAAAAUUAGUUUAAAGUGGUUCCCCUUCCUAUUUUUCUGAUA